AUGGAGUUCUUGUAUGUGUCUCCCAUGUUGUUCACUUCGGUCAUUGACCCCCUGCACUGGAUGUUCGCGAAAGCUCAUGCUGAUGGAGUUCUGGCUCCCCUCAACCUCCCUCCGUCGAAUCCGCGCCUGAGCCUUCACGCGGAUGAUGCAGCGCUGUUUAUCACUCCCAUGCCUGAAGAUGUUCUUGUUACCAAGCAAUUGUUGCUUCAGUUCGGCGCCAUUUCAGGGCUAGUUGCCAACCUGGACAAGAGUGGGUUGUUCAAAAUUCGUUGCGACAACAUUGAUCUCCCCAACUGCUAA
rnacentral:rRNA from 1 species